rnacentral:misc_RNA from 1 species
GGCAGGUACAAUACCAUCUGAGAUUGGUGAACUCCGAAAUCUUGAGUACUUGAACCUUAAGUAUAAUAGCUUAGCAGGGACUAUCCCAUCUCCUUUAUUCAAUAUGACAGCUUUAAGAAUUAUAGGACUUGAAUCAAACCGCUUCUCAGGCAGACUUCCAUCAGAAUUUGGCCAUGGUCUUCCGAAUCUGGAAGAAAUAUACAUAUGGAGCAACCAGUUUAGCGGACAACUUCCUAGUUCCAUCUCCAAUUGUUCCAAGCUCACGAUUGUGGCAUUGGGCGCAAACUCCUUCUCUGGACCUAUCCCUAAUAGUCUUGGCAACUUAAGGAAUCUGGAAGUGCUUAACAUACCAGAUAAUCUUUUUACCGAUGAAUCUUCAGUUCCGGAAUUGAGCAUUCUCUCUUUUUUGACAAGUUGCAAAGCAUUAACAAGACUAGCAUUAGCAGGCAAUCCACUCAACGGCACUCGUUCCGAAUUCAAUCAGUAAUUUCUCUGCUUUACACUAUUUUGAUGUGCAAAGUUGUAACAUCAAAGGCAACAUACCAAGAGAAGUAGGCCAACUGAGCAACUUGACAAUCUUAAAGCUGAUGCAGUAGUUGAAAUAGCAGAUGCUAAUUUGCU